GGUGAUAUGGUGUAGUGGUACCAUACUCGCUUCGGGGUUUCCCUUCUCGAUCACAGAGAAACUGCGAGAGACUCAGGUUCAAACCCUGAUAUCGCCC